rnacentral:rRNA from 1 species
UACGUAGGGCGCAAGCGUUGUCCGGAAUUAUUGGGCGUAAAGAGCUCGUAGGCGGUCUGUCACGUCUGCCGUGAAAACCCGAGGCUUAACCUCGUGGCUUGCGGUGGAUACGGGCAGACUAGAGGUAGGUAGGGGGAGAACGGAAUUCCCGGUGUAGCGGUGAAAUGCGCGAUAUCGGAGGAACACCGGUGGCGAAGGCGGUUCUCUGGGCCUUACCUGGAC